rnacentral:misc_RNA from 1 species
UGUUCUUAUAACUAUUUUUCGAAGAGCGAAUCUAAUUUUUACACAAUUGGAAAGAGCCCUGGAAAGCAUACGGCUGAAAAGAAAUUGAUGGAAACAAAAAUUGAGAAUCACUUCAUCGAUGUCGGAACGAUAAGCAAAGGUGGUAUUUUCGGACUUGGUGAGACAAUGAAAUAUCGUAUUAUAAUGGCCGAAACUAGGGUUCAGUGUUUAGUUAUACCGAGAUAUUGGUUAUUUAAAGAUGAACAAAAUCCAGCUAAUAUGUGGCAAAGAAAAAAGAUUCAAUUAGAUUUUACAUUACCAUCCAGAGAAGCUCUUUUCAGUUUGUUCCAAAAUUCACGCUAAUGGCAGAAUGUUAAAAAAGGAAUUGUAUCUUCAUUUAGAACGUCUGAAACGAAACUACAAAAUAUUCCAAUAAUGGGCCGUAUUAUGUCGAGCGACCAAUAAAAUUAAACCAUGAUUUUAUACUAAUAAAUACAAAUCGUUUUAUAUAAGAUGUAAUAAUCCGAUUUCAUUCACCGAUACAUAUAACCUGGACAAAUUUAAACAUCUUAUAAAAACUGUGAUAAGU